rnacentral:rRNA from 1 species
UGGGGAAUUUUGGACAAUGGGGGCAACCCUGAUCCAGCAAUGCCGCGUGUGUGAAGAAGGCCUUCGGGUUGUAAAGCACUUUUGUCCGGAAAGAAAACUUCGGGGCUAAUACCCCUGGAGGAUGACGGUACCGGAAGAAUAAGCACCGGCUAACUACGUGCCAGCAGCCGCGGUAAUACGUAGGGUGCGAGCGUUAAUCGGAAUUACUGGGCGUAAAGCGUGCGCAGGCGGUGCUGUAAGACCGAUGUGAAAUCCCCGGGCUUAACCUGGGAACUGCAUUGGUGACUGCAGCGCUGGAGUAUGGCAGAGGGGGGUGGAAUUCCACGUGUAGCAGUGAAAUGCGUAGAGAUGUGGAGGAACACCGAUGGCGAAGGCAGCCCCCUGGGCCAAUACUGACGCUCAUGUACGAAAGCGUGGGGAGCAAACAGG